UACAGAGGUCUCAAGCGUUGUCCGGAGUUACUGGGCGUAAAGGGCAUGCAGGCGGUCGGACGCGUUUCGGGUGACAGCGGGUGGCUUAACUACCCGAGUGGUCGAAAGACGGUUUGACUUGAGGACGCGAGAGGGACACGGAAUUCCGGGUGGAGUGGUGAAAUGCGUAGAGAUCCGGAGGAACACCGAAGGCGAAGGCAGUGUCCUGGCGCGUAGCUGACGCUGAGGUGCGAAAGCCAGGGGAGCGAACGGG
rnacentral:rRNA from 1 species